rnacentral:rRNA from 1 species
AUACGGAGGGUGCGAGCGUUAAUCGGGAUUACUGGGCGUAAAGCGUACGUAGGCGGUUUGCUAAGUCAGAUGUGAAAGCCCCGGGCUUAACCUGGGAACUGCUUUUGAUACUGGCAGACUAGAGUAUGAUAGAGGGGGGUAGAAUUCCUGGUGUAGCGGUGAAAUGCGUAGAUAUCAGGAGGAAUACCAGUGGCGAAGGCGGCCCCCUGGAUCAAUACUGACGCUGAGGUACGAAAGCGUGGGGAGCGAACAGGAUUAGAAACCCCUGUAGUCC